AUUGAACGCUGGCGGCAUGCCUUACACAUGCAAGUCGAACGGUAACGGGCCUUCGGGUGCCGACGAGUGGCGAACGGGGGAGUAAUACAUCGGAACGUGCCCGAUCGUGGGGGAUAACGAGGCGAAAGCUUUGCUAAUACCGCAUACGAUCUACGGAUGAAAGCAGGGGACCGCAAGGCCUUGCGCGGACGGAGCGGCCGAUGGCAGAUUAGGUAGUUGGUGGGAUAAAAGCUUACCAAGCCGACGAUCUGUAGCUGGUCUGAGAGGAUGAUCAGCCACACUGGGACUGAGACACGGCCCAGACUCCUACGGGAGGCAGCAGUGGGGAAUUUUGGACAAUGGGCGCAAGCCUGAUCCAGCCAUGCCGCGUGAAGGAUGAAGGCCUUCGGGUUGUAAACUGCUUUUGUACGGAACGAAAAGCCUUCUUUUAAUACAGGAGGGUCAUGACGGUACCGUAAGAAUAAGCACCGGCUAACUACGUG
rnacentral:rRNA from 1 species